GCACAGCAUCUGGUGAGAGAUGCGUCUACUUCCGGUGUAGUUUUUUAGCAUUUUAUACCUUAAAUGACGUCAUUUCCGCAAUUAUUUAAUAGGAAUUGAUUUGACUUACUUCCGUUUGCCGCCAUUUUAGUCACCUGGGGGCGAGCUUGCUCGGAGUUCUUCAUAGCGUCUUUAACUUCCAAACUAGCAACAUCGUAAGCAGAAACUCUGCUCAGAUUUUUACUGAAAUAAUUUAUUUCUCAACGUUCUAAUACUAAGUUUAAAAUUAAAAAGUGCAAUUGACCGCGCGUGUGUGACCGCGAACGACAUGUACGUGAUGGUGGUCGGCGCCAAAGGGGACGAGUGUCUUCCGGACGACGAGCAGGUGGACCCAGAGCGUCGGAUACCGGAGAAACUCGGACCCCGGCGAGAUUCAAAACGGAUGAAACGAGGUACGUGGGAUUCUGAUAGCUUUAACACUCUUUUCGAUCAAAUGAGCAUUCUCGCGAAUCUCUAUAUUGUAUAAAUAGAUUGAAUAACGUACCCACAACCAUCUUAUACAAUUUUAACGGCAGCCCCGUCAGCCCCAAUCGCAAACAUUACCAAUCAAAAUACGUUGUUAGCAUCACCACAAUCGAACGAUAACUCUUUCUGGUACGAGUUUCUUAAUAAAUACCCAUUUAAAAAGGCUCAUUGUGCUCAUAAAAUAAAGCACCUACAAAUGCUUUACCACAUCAACAAAGCACUUUAAACUACAACUAUUAGUAGACUGGGUGGCCACCCCCAACACUGAGCCAGCUUACAGCUUGAAUUAUUAAAUUCUAAUGUUUUUUGCAAAUCAAGAAGCUUAAUAAGUGUGAAAAAAUGUGCUAAGUGCAUCGAACAUGUAUACUUUUAUUUUGCAACAACAUAUAAAUUGUAAUGUGACAUGCAAUAAACGUUUUUGAAUUUGAAUUUGAACAUGUCACGAGCGUAUCCUGGCUAAAAUUCCUAAUAAGCAUUGUGCGAGGAGCACCCUCCCAGUGCUGGAUUUUUGUUCGGCAAAAUCACCCUGUGCUCGUACUAGUGAUAUCUAAAAAAUAAUCCGACCUUGGUUCUCUAGCCGGUCACUUCAAGCAAAAUCAAAACAUAAUAAUAUCUUUAUUUGCUUAGACUGAUUAAAUUAGUUCUUACAAAUCGUCAAAUACUAAUAAAACAAAAAGCCAAGGAUUCCAAAUCAGUCCCUUCAGGUCCCCUUGACGACCAAUAAGUCAAAUGAUACCGGCCUAUCUUGGGCAUUGGCAGGCGUCAUCAUUCUGCGGAGGUCAACCUUUUACCUGACAACGGUUCCAGGGAUGCGUCUGCCAUUCACCUCCAAGCCGAUGCUUGCCCCUGCAACGCCGUGCUUUAUUCAGCGUCUUAACACUCUUGACUGUCUAGCGCUGACCAAAUAAGAAUAGCAAAGUCAAGUGACUUUCCACUCAGCAAAUUCUACGGAGGCUGCCUUUGAGCGUAUCUUAGGCAGUGGUAGGCGUCAUCAGACUGCGGAGGUCAACCUGUUACCUGACAAUGGUUCCAGGGAUGCGUCUGCUAUUCACCUCCAAGCCGGUGCUUGCCCCUGCACCUGCAACGCCGUGCUUUAUUCAGCGUCUCAACACUCUUGACUGUCUAGCGCUGACCAAAUAAGAAUAGCAAAGUCAAGUGACUUUCCACUCAGCAAAUUCUACGGAGGCUGCCUUUGAGCGUAUCUUAGGCAGUGGCAGGCGUCAUCAGACUGCGGAGGUCAACCUGUUAUCUGACAAUGGUUCCAGGGAUGCGUCUGCCAUUCACCUCCAAGCCGGUGCUUGUCCCUUCAACGCCGUGCUUUAUUCAGCGUUUUAACACUCUUGACUGUCUAACGCUGACCAAAUAAACCGAAAUCCUGUUAAAA